AAGAAAUACAGUGUAAAUAUUAUACAAAAACAGUGACUGUUACCACUUAAAAACCAAACUGCCAUAAAGGUCCUUUCUGUGUGCUCACAAAUGCCAUAAUGAGAACGAUAUCAAUCUAUUUGAUUGAUUGUGUGUUUGAGAUUGUGUUUAUCCUGUGUUUAUCCUGUAUCAUUUGUGUUUCUGUGGGAAUUCUCUCUAAUAUUUGUUUUCUGUCAUUUGUGUUUGUUAUCCAUGUUGUGUAUUUCACGGCUACAUUUCCCUAUGUGGUGUUGCUGACCCUGUCCAUUUGAGGGUUGACACUAGAAGGCGCCAGAGAUGGGAUUGAGUUUUACAUUGGCUCGAAGUCAAACCUCACUAAACUGGCUGAGUCAGAAGUCAGAGCUCAACCACAUCUGGAGGAAACCAUUUCAUUAAGGACAUAGUGCCUUGUCCCAAUCAUCAUCUCUAUUCUGGCUGUGGUGGAGAGCAUGUUGGUUCUUCAUCUCUCCCGCCAUCAUCACUAUGAUCCUGGUGUGGUCAUGGUUGACCUUCCGUCCCCCGUCCUACGGUAAUGUGCAGUACCCUGCAUGGGGUGUGGCUCUUGGCUGGUGUAUGAUCACCUUCUGUCUCCUCUGGAUCCCCCUCGUCGCUGUCUGGAAAAUAUUCCACGCCCAAGGAAAUCCCUGGAAGGUGUUUAAGUAUUAACGUUUUCAGAUAGAAUUUAUUUUUCAUAAACAAAGUCAAGACAAAAUGAAUUUUAAUACUUAGCCUUGUGCAUUUUCUGUAGAUAAAACUACAUUUGAUGACAUAUGCUUGUUUGACAGUGGAUAUUUUGUUUUAUUUCCUUGUCU
ensembl:lncRNA